GCGGGAAUAGCUCAGUUGGUAGAGCACGACUUGCCAAGGUCGGGGUCGCGAGUUCGAGUCUCGUUUCCCGCUCCA
rnacentral:tRNA from 1 species